GAUGAACGCUGGCGGCGCGCCUAAUACAUACAAGUCGAGCGAACAGACGAGGAGCUUGCUCCUCUGACGUUAGCGGCGGACGGGUGAGUAACACGUGGAUAACCUACCUAUAAGACUGGGAUAACUUCGGGAAACCGGAGCUAAUACCGGAUAAUAUAUUGAACCGCAUGGUUCAAUAGUGAAAGACGGUUUUGCUGUCACUUAUAGAUGGAUCCGCGCCGCAUUAGCUAGUUGGUAAGGUAACGGCUUACCAAGGCAACGAUGCGUAGCCGACCUGAGAGGGUGAUCGGCCACACUGGAACUGAGACACGGUCCAGACUCCUACGGGAGGCAGCAGUAGGGAAUCUUCCGCAAAGGGCGAAAGCCUGACGGAGCAACGCCGCGUGAGUGAUGAAGGUCUUCGGAUCGUAAAACUCUGUUAUUAGGGAAGAACAAAUGUGUAAGUAACUAUGCACGUCUUGACGGUACCUAAUCAGAAAGCCACGGCUAACUACGUG
rnacentral:rRNA from 1 species